GUCUAAGUGAACACGAGAACUAAGACAAUACUGGCCUACGACAAUUGACUAAUGGCGUUCUUUUGACGAUUAUCGCUUACUUUCUUACUAUCUGCGGCCAUUUGUAAUGUGUACACUCUGGAGAACAUUCGAAGUUGUCAUGUGGAAAAAGAAGAAGAAGCAGAGCUCGAAACGUUAAAAAGUUAAUUGUGCUCUGGAGCUAAAAGCAGUAUUACCUGCAGACCUGGAAAGCAAACCUGUAUUUCUUUUCCUACUAACGAGAUCGAUUGACGUCAUGGAGUUGCCAGAAAAAUCUUUUCAGACCGUUUCCGCCGUUAACAGGCACAUCGAAAACC